rnacentral:rRNA from 1 species
GUGCCAGCCGCCGCGGUAAUACAGAGGGUGCAAGCGUUGUUCGGAAUUAUUGGGCGUAAAGGGAGUGUAGGCGGUUUGAAAAGUCUUCUGUGAAAUCUACGGGCUUAGCCUGUAAAGUGCAGAGGAUACUAUCAGGCUUGAGUAUCGGAGAGGAUAGGGGAAUACCCAGUGUAGAGGUGAAAUUCGUAGAGAUUGGGUGGAACACCAGUGGCGAAGGCGCCUAUCUGGCCGAUAACUGACGCUGAGACUCGAAAGCAUGGGGAGCAAACAGGAUUAGAAACCCCUGUAGUCC